rnacentral:rRNA from 1 species
AGAGCGAACGCUGGCGGCAGGCCUAAAACAUGCAAGUCGAACGGACCCUUCGGGGUUAGUGGCGGACGGGUGAGUAACACGUGGGAACGUGCCUUUUGGUUCAGAACAACUCAGGGAAACUUGAGCUAAUACUGAAUAAGCCCUACGGGGGAAAGAUUUAUCGCCAUUAGAGCGGCCCGCGUUGGAUUAGCUAGUUGGUGAGGUAAAGGCUCACCAAGGCUACGAUCCAUAGCUGGUCUGAGAGGAUGAUCAGCCACACUGGGACUGAGACACGGCCCAGACUCCUACGGGAGGCAGCAGUUAGGAAUCUUGCGCAAUGGGCGAAAGCCUGACGCAGCCAUGCCGCGUGAAUGAUGAAGGUCUUAGGAUUGUAAAAUUCUUUCAGUGGGGAAGAUAAUGACUGUACCCACAGAAGAAGCUCCGGCUAACUUCGUGCCAGCAGCCGC